rnacentral:lncRNA from 1 species
CAAAAUAUGAACUAGCAUUCAUUGAACUAAACAUCUAGGACUUGGUUCUCUUUCUUCUUUGACACUUGCUGCUUAUUUUUCUUCUUUAAACCAAGUGUUUUGGUAGGUGGUCUUGGAGGUGGGAGCUCAUCUCUGCAGCUGGCAAUGAAUUGACUCUCGGGUAGAGGACCUGGUGGUGCAGUUUGAGAUUGUUGUGUCGCUAUUGCCUGCAAACCAAGUGUACAUGAGAAUUCAGCAAUAAAAGAUAAAUUUAAUACCAAACAAUUGACUCACUUGUUCCUGUAGAACAUGAAUCACACUAGAUGACGUGACACU